rnacentral:rRNA from 1 species
GUUUCGGCUGGGUCUUGCACAGGUGCUGCAUGGCUGUCGUCAGCUCGUGUCGUGAGAUGUUGGGUUAAGUCCCGCAACGAGCGUAACCCUCACCCUUAGUUGCCAGCGGGUAAUGCCGGGGACUUUAAGGGAACUGCCAGUGGUAAGCUGGAGGAAGGUGGGGAUGAUGUCAAGUCAGCAUGGCCCUUAUGGGGUGGGCUACACACGUGCUACAAUGGUGACUACAAUAGGUUGCAAUGYCGCAAGGCUGAGCUAAUCCGUCAAAAGUCAUCUUAGUUCGGAUUGUCCUCUGCAACUCGAGGGCAUGAAGYAGGAAUCGCUAGUAAUCGUGGAUCAGCAUGCCACGGUGAAUACGUUCUCGGGUCUUGUACACACU